GAUCUUACUCCGGGAGUCAGACAGUGAGCGAUAAGGUCCAUUGUCGAAAGGGGAACAGCCCAGAUCACCAGUUAAGGUCCCUAAAUUUAUGCUAAGUGGAAAAGGAUGUGGCGUUGCACAGACAACUAGGAUGUUGGCUCAGAAGCAGCCACCAUUUAAAGAGUGCGUAAUAGCUCACUAGUCGAGUGGCACUGCGCCGAAAAUAUACCGGGGCUAAGCAUAAUACCGAAACUGUGGGUGCACCCGUAAGGGUGCGCGGUAGGAGAGCGUUCUAAGGGCGUUGAAGGUCGAUCGUGAGGACGGCUGGAGCGCUUAGAAGUGAGAAUGCCGGCAUGAGUAGCGAAAGAUCAGUGAGAAUCUGAUCCACCGUAUGACUAAGGUUUCCUGGGGAAGGCUCGUCCUCCCAGGGUUAGUCGGGAUCUAAGGCGAGGCCGAGAGGCGUAGUCGAUGACAAGCAGGUUGAGAUUCCUGCACUAGUUUAUUUUGUUUAAGCGAUGGAGGGACGCAGGAGGCUAAGGAAAGCGCACGGCUGGAAAUGUGCGCCCAAGCAGCAAGUCUGACAGCGAGUGAAAUGCUUGCAGUCUUAAGGACAAGCUGUGAUGGGGAGCGAAAUUAUAGUAGCGAAGUUCCUGAUGUCACACUGCCAAGAAAAGCUUCUAGUGAGAAAUAAACUACCCGUACCGCAAACCGACACAGGUAGUCGAGGAGAGUAUCCUCAGGUGAGCGAGCGAACUCUCGUUAAGGAACUCGGCAAAAUGACCCCGUAACUUCGGAAGAAGGGGUGCUGACCGCAAGGUCAGCCGCAGUGAAUAGGCCCAAACAACUGUUUAUCAAAAACACAGGUCUCUGCUAAAUCGUAAGAUGAUGUAUAGGGGCUGACGCCUGCCCGGUGCUGGAAGGUUAAGAGGAUGAGUUAGCGCAAGCGAAGCCCAGAAUUGAAGCCCCAGUAAACGGCGGCCGUAACUAUAACGGUCCUAAGGUAGCGAAAUUCCUUGUCGGGUAAGUUCCGACCCGCACGAAAGGCGUAAUGAUUUGGGCACUGUCUCAACGAGAGACUCGGUGAAAUUAUAGUACCCGUGAAGAUGCGGGUUACCCGCGACAGGACGGAAAGACCCCAUGGAGCUUUACUGUAGCUUGAUAUUGAGUGUUUGUACCGCUUGUACAGGAUAGGUAGGAGCCGUAGAGAUCGGAACGCUAGUUUCGAUGGAGGCGUUGGUGGGAUACUACCCUAGCUGUAUGAACACUCUAACCCGCGCCACUAAUCGUGGCGGGAGACAGUGUCAGGUAGGCAGUUUGACUGGGGCGGUCGCCUCCUAAAAUGUAACGGAGGCGCCCAAAGGUUCCCUCAGAAUGGUUGGAAAUCAUUCGCAGAGUGUAAAGGUAUAAGGGAGCUUGACUGCGAGACUGACAAGUCGAGCAGGGACGAAAGUCGGGCUUAGUGAUCCGGUGGUUCCGUAUGGAAGGGCCAUCGCUCAACGGAUAAAAGCUACCCUGGGGAUAACAGGCUUAUCUCCCCCAAGAGUCCACAUCGACGGGGAGGUUUGGCACCUCGAUGUCGGCUCAUCGCAUCCUGGGGCUGUAGUCGGUCCCAAGGGUUGGGCUGUUCGCCCAUUAAAGCGGUACGCGAGCUGGGUUCAGAACGUCGUGAGACAGUUCGGUCCCUAUCCGUCGCGGGCGCAGGAAAUUUGAGAGGAGCUGUCCUUAGUACGAGAGGACCGGGAUGGACGUUCCGCUGGUGUACCAGUUGUGCCGCCAGGCGCAUCGCUGGGUAGCUAUGAACGGCAGGGAUAAACGCUGAAAGCAUCUAAGUGUGAAGCCCCCCUCGAGAUGAGAUUUCCCAUUCCUAUAUGGAAGUAAGACCCCUGAGAGAUGAUCAGGUAGAUAGGCUGGAAGUGGAA
rnacentral:rRNA from 1 species